rnacentral:rRNA from 1 species
AUGUUGGGAAGGAGCAGCUCUGCCACCGGAGAGGAGGCGGAGUGCCAUGGCAAUGACAACCGCCGGUUGGUCCGCAUCUGCUGGACCUCACCGUCACUAGGAUCUGGAGAGGAGAGGACCUCCCGGCCUCACGUCGAUGCCUGUUGGUUGCUCUUGGGGUGGGCAUGGCGACGCAACACAGGCGCCGAUGCUCCUUGCUGCUUGAGGCGAGCCGUCCAGGGCGACACAUCGCAGGCGCCGGUGCGUAGCGCAAGCGGGUGGGGGAGAGGAAUGACGGGGGAGGAUGGGGCGGCUGAAGAGGAGGAGGUGGAGGAGAGGAUGGGACCCGGAGAAGCAGGCAUGCGCACGAAAGCCAGCAGACGACGAGGUGCCAAACGACGCCUCGCUGCCUUGCUGUCGCGUGUCGCGCGAUCUAUUCUGCCGUGCGUGACCGUGGACGAUGAUCCUGGGGCUGCAAAAGCCAGCAUCCCGCAGGUGCCUCCCGGAGACUACAGCCGGCAGCAGAUCGUGGAGGUGGAGGCGGGUCAGUGGUCUGAUCUACCUGGAGAUCUUCUCGGCGCGGUCUACGGCAGGGUCCCCACCGCGCUCGACCGCGUCCGCCUCGCCGCCGUCUGCAAGUCCUGGCGCGCCGUGGUGACAUCACGGCGGCACCAGGCACCGGGCGCUCUCCCGUGGCUUCUCUUCCCGCCGCGGGACGACGACAUGGGGACGGAGCGCCUCCUGUACUCUCCCGAGGACGAUGGGUCAUGCGCAUGUCGCUCCCGAGCGUGGCCAUCGAUAGGCGGCUCGUCGGCUCCCACGACGGCGGCUGGGUCGCCGCGUUCGAAGAGGGGCGCCGCCUGCUCGCCGUACCACGCGGAGCGCGUGUCGGACGUUGCCUUUUGCAACGGCGAGCUCUACGGUCUUGCCGCCUAUGGCACGGAGGGACUAAUCAGUGGCGUACGUGAGCUACCUGAGCUGCGUGGUAAGCCGGCCAUGGCGGUGAAGGCCCGGUGGUCACGCAACCACGAGCCAUCCUUCGGGGUAUUCGAGCUCGUCAGCACCAGCACCGACGAUGUCUACAAAUGGGCGGAGGUGACGAGCUUGGGCGAUUACGCUUUGUUUGUGGGGCCGAUGACUUCAUGUAAGGUGGCCCACGUAUCGGUGGCCAGGCGCGGCGGGGUGCAGGCAAACCACAUCUACCACCUCAACUAUCGCUUCGUCUUCAUAGACGACCAUCUCGGUGGCGGCGCGACAUGCAUGGACGACAAUGGUGGCCGUGCACUGUACAGCGGUGAAGAGAGGCAGAAGAUCGUGUCUGUGGGAUACUACGUGGUUGACCCUACAACCGCCAUCUGGCUUCUUCCUCCAAAUAUCUAG